UUUAGUGUCAGUGUUGAUGUUAGUGUAACUCUGUCAGUGUCAGUUUUAGAGCAGGAGGUUUUUGUACAGCCAUUGAUUGGGUUUGUAUCACUGUGGUGCACAUUCGGUGGAGGAACUCGACUCUCAGUUGGAACUGCCGCUCGUCCCACUCUCACGGUCCUGCCGCCCUCCAGAGAGGAGCUGCAGCAGGGUAAGGCUACAGUGGUGUGUGUGGGCAGUAAGGGAUUCCCCUCUGACUGGAAGCUGAGCUGGAAGGUGGAUGGCAGCAGCAGGAGCUCUGCUGUGAAUCUGAGUCCCAGUGUGCUGCAGAAGGAUGGACUGUACAGCUGGAGCAGCAGCCUGAGCCUCACUGAGAGUGAGUGGAGCAGAGCAACAACCAUCAGCUGUGACGCCACGCACCCAUCCCAGAAUGCAGUGACCGAGAGCCUGAAAACACAGCAGUGUGGUGACCAGUGAAACACACACACACACAUCACACAGAGAUUAUAGACAUGCAUAUUCAUUGAUUUACUCACACACAGUGUUCAUUAAGGUUUGUCAGCAUUGUUUUACAAUUUGCUCUAUAAGUUAAUUUUUCUUUAAGCCUGUGUUUUCAUACACGUUCUACACAUAUAUUGAUUGUG